rnacentral:rRNA from 1 species
UACGUAGGGUGCAGGCGCUAAUCGGAAUUACUGGGCGUAAAGCGUGCGCAGGCGGUUUGCUAAGAGAGAUGUGAAAUCCCCGGGCUUAACCUGGGAACUGCGUUUCUAACUGGCAGGCUUGAGUGUGGCAGAGGGGGGUGGAAUUCCACGUGUAGCAGUGAAAUGCGUAGAUAUGUGGAGGAACACCGAUGGCGAAGGCAGCCCCCUGGGCUAACACUGACGCUCAUGCACGAAAGCGUGGGGAGCAAACAGG